rnacentral:rRNA from 2 species
CGAACGGGUGAGUAAUACAUCGGAACGUGUCCGCUCGUGGGGGACAACCAGCCGAAAGGUUGGCUAAUACCGCAUGAGUUCUACGGAAGAAAGAGGGGGACCCGCAAGGGCCUCUCGCGAGCGGAGCGGCCGAUGACUGAUUAGCCGGUUGGUGAGGUAACGGCUCACCAAAGCAACGAUCAGUAGCUGGUCUGAGAGGACGACCAGCCACACUGGGACUGAGACACGGCCCAG